AAUAGAUACCCGGGUAGUCCACGCCGUAAACUAUGAGAGCUAGCCGUCGGCAAGUUUACUUGUCGGUGGCGCAGCUAACGCAUUAAGCUCUCCGCCUGGGGAGUACGGUCGCAAGAUUAAAACUCAAAGGAGUUGACGGGGGCCCGCACAAGCGGUGGGGCAUGUGGUUUAAUUCGAAGCAACGCGCAGAACCUUACCAGCCCUUGACAUCCCGGUCGCGGUUACCAGAGAUGGUUUCCUUCAGUUCGGCUGGACCGGUGACAGGUGCUGCAUGGCUGUCGUCAGCUCGUGUCGUGAGAUGUUGGGUUAAGUCCCGCAACGAGCGCAACCCUCGCCCUUAGUUGCCAUCAUUCAGUUGGGCACUCUAAGGGGACUGCCGGUGAUAAGCCGAGAGGAAGGUGGGGAUGACGUCAAGUCCUCAUGGCCCUUACGGGCUGGGCUACACACGUGCUACAAUGGUGGUGACAGUGGGCAGCGAGACCGCGAGGUCGAGCUAAUCUCCAAAAGCCAUCUCAGUUCGGAUUGCACU
rnacentral:rRNA from 1 species